AUUGAACGCUGGCGGCAUGCUUUACACAUGCAAGUCGAACGGCAGCGCGGGGGCAACCCUGGCGGCGAGUGGCGAACGGGUGAGUAAUGCAUCGGAACGUAUCCUGUAAUGGGGGAUAACGUAGCGAAAGUUACGCUAAUACCGCAUACGCUCGAGAGAGGAAAGUGGGGAUCGCAAGACCUCACGUUAUAGGAGCGGCCGAUGUCCGAUUAGCUAGUUGGUGGGGUAAAGGCCUACCAAGGCGACGAUCGGUAGCUGGUCUGAGAGGAUGAUCAGCCACACUGGGACUGAGACACGGCCCAGACUCCUACGGGAGGCAGCAGUGGGGAAUUUUGGACAAUGGGCGAAAGCCUGAUCCAGCCAUGCCGCGUGCGGGAAGAAGGCC
rnacentral:rRNA from 1 species